rnacentral:rRNA from 1 species
CCCUUAGAUGUUCUGGGCCGCACGCGCGCUACACCGAUGCAUUCAACAAGCCUAGCCUUGACCGAGAGGUCCGGGUAAUCUUUGAAACUGCAUCGUGAUGGGGCUAGAUUAUUGCAAUUAUUAAUCUUCAACGAGGAAUGCCUAGUAAGCGUGAUUCAUCAAAUCGCGUUGAUUACGUCCCUGCCCUUUGUACACACCGCCCGUCGCUCCUACCGAUUGAAUGUGUUGGUGAGGAGCUCGGAUUGGCAGCAGUUGGUGGUUCGCCACCGGCUAUUGCUGAGAAGUCCUCCAAACCGCCCCAUUUAGAGGAAGGAGAAGUCGUAACA